ACUCUGCUAAAAUGGCUGAACGGAUUUUCAAGCCUGACAUCUUAAAAUGACCUUAGCAAUUAAGGCUUUCAAGUUUGUGUUGUUGAAGUAAGACAGCAUCUCCUCUGUGCUCCCAUUGGCUCCAAACACAGACAGGAAGAUGUUGGUGUCCGUCCCUGCAUCCUGGGUGUCGCCUGUGAUGACCGUGGCCACAUAGAUGAUCUGGAGGGGAAACAUACAUGUGUCCUGUAUUUAAGCCCCAUUGAGAUAGCAGAAUCUAUUUCAAGGAAGCCCUCGCCACGAAGGAGCAUCCCAAGCACAGGACCUGAGCCCUAGGACCAUGCCUCAGGACUACCUGACAUGAUGACUCCUUGCUGUCCCCAGUCCACCUGGCCGUGCUGCUGCUCCAGUUUCAACUGUUCUGCCUAUUAUUAUUGGACCAUGCUGGUCAUUUAUGAACAUUUGAACAUCUUGGCCAUGUUCUGUUAUAAUCUCCACCUGGCACAGCCAGAAGAGGACUGGCCACCCCACAUAGCCUGGUUCCUCUCUAGGUUUCUUCCUAGGUUUUGGCCUUUCUAGGGAGUUUUUCCUAGCCACCGUGCUUCUACACCUGCAUUGCUUGCUGUUUGGGGUUUUAGGCUGGGUUUCUGUACAGCACUUUCAGAUAUCAGCUGAUGUACGAAGGGCUAUAUAAAUACAUUUGAUUUGAUUUGAUUCAUAGACAGUGUUAUUAUCCCAUGGAACUACAUGGUAAACUACACCGAACAAAAAUAUAAACGGAACAUGCAACCAUUUCUAAGAUUUUACUGAGUUACAGUCGACAUAAUGAAAUCAAUCAAUUUAAAUACAUGAAUUACACCCUAAUCUAUGGAUUUCAACUGACUGGAAAUAAAGAUAUGCAUUUGUUGGUUACAGAUAUCUUCAAAAAAAGGUAGGGGCGUGGAUCAGGAAACCAGUCAGUAUCUGGUGAGACCAUCAUUUGCUUUAUGCAUCUCCUUCACAUAGAGUUGAUCGGGCUGUUGAUAGUGGGCUUCGGAAUGUUGCCCCCCUCCUCUUUAAUGGCUGAGCGAAGUUGCUGGAUAUUGUUGGGAACUGGAACACACUGUCGUACACGUCGAUCCAGAGCAUCCCAAACAUGCUCAACGUGCGAAAUGUCUCGUAAGUAUGCAGGCCAUGGAAGAACUGGGACAUUUUCGGCUUCCAGGAAUUCUGUACAUGCUGUUUGACAUCUACCUCGUACAGUUGAAACCGGGAUUCAUCCGUGAAGAGCAUACUUCUCUAGCGUACCAGUGGCCAUCAAAGGUGACCAUUUUCCCACUGAAAUCGGUUAUGAUGCUGAACUGCAGUCAGGUCAAGCCUCUGGUGAGCCCAACAAGCGCAGAGAUGAGCUUCCCUGAGACGGUUUCUGACAGUUUGUGCAGAAAUUCUUUGGUUGUGCAAACCCCCAGUUUCAUCAGCUGUCCGGGUGACUGGUCUCAGACGAUAAUGCAGGUGAAGAAGCCGGAUGUGGAGGUCCUGGGCUGACUGACGUGGUUACACGUGAUCUGCGGUUGUGAGGCCAGUUGGACGUACUGCCAAAUUCUCUAAAAUGACAUUGGAGGCGGCUUAUGGUAGAGAAAUGAACAUUCAAUUAUCUGGCAACAGCUCUGGUGGACGUUCCUGCAGUCACCAUGCCAAUUGCAGACUCCCCCAAAACUUGACACAUCUGUUGCAUCGUGUUGUGUGACAAAACUGCACAUUUCUGAGUGGCCUUUUAUUGUCCCCAGCACAAGGUGCACCUGUGUAAUGAUCAUGCUGUUUAAUCAGCUCCUUGAUAUUUAUUUAUUUUACCUUUAUUUAACUAGGCAAGUCAGUUAAGAACAAAUUCUUAUUUUCAAUGACGGCCUAGGAACAGAUUAUCUUGGCUCACUAACAGGGAUGUAAACAAAUUUGUGCACAACAUUUGAGAUAAAUAAGCUUUUUGUGCAUUUGGAAAA